GACGAACACUGGCGGCGUGCCUAAUACAUGCAAGUAGGACGCAGUUGCGAACGGGUGAGUAACGCGUAGGUAACUACCUAUUAGAGGGGGAUACCUAUUGGAAACGAUCGCUAAUACCGCAUACUAGUAGAUGGACCUGCGUUGUAUUAGCUAGUAGGUAGGGUAAUGGGCUACCUAGGCCACGAUACAUAGCCGACCUGUGAGGGUGCGCGGCCACACGGGGACGGAGACACGGCCCAGACUACUGCGGGAGGCAGUAGGAGGGAAUCUUCGGGAAUUGGGGGAACCCUGACUGAGCAACGCCGCGUGAGUGAAUAAGGUGUUCGGAUCGUAAGGCUCUGUUGUUAAGGAAGCGGUACUUAACCAGAAAGGGACGGCUAACUACGUGCCAGCAGCCGCGGUAAGUC
rnacentral:rRNA from 1 species